rnacentral:rRNA from 1 species
CCCUUAGCUGUUCUGGGCCGCCCGCGCGCUACACUGACGGAGGCAGCGAGCAUGUCCUUCGCCGAGAGGUGUGGGGAAUCUUGUGAGUCUCCGUCGUGCUGGGGAUAGAUGGUUGCAAUUGUCGAUCUUGAACGAGGAAUUCCUAGUAAGCGCGAGUCAUCAGCUCGCGCUGAUUACGUCCCUGCCCUUUGUACACACCGCCCGUCGCUACUACCGAUUGGAUGGUUUAGCGAGAACUUUGGACCGGAGCUCGGGUGGUCAGCAAUGGCCGCCCGAGACAUACUGGGAAAUCGCUCCAGCUUGAUCAUCUAGAGGAAGUAAAAGUCGUAACA